rnacentral:rRNA from 1 species
UCUGCAGUCGAGCGGAAGAAGGGAGCUUGCUCCCGGAUGUUAGCGGCGGACGGGUGAGUAACACGUGGGUAACCUGCCUGUAAGACUGGGAUAACUCCGGGAAACCGGAGCUAAUACCGGAUAGUUCCUUGAACCGCAUGGUUCAAGGAUGAAAGACGGUUUCGGCUGUCACUUACAGAUGGACCCGCGGCGCAUUAGCUAGUUGGUGAGGUAACGGCUCACCAAGGCGACGAUGCGUAGCCGACCUGAGAGGGUGAUCGGCCACACUGGGACUGAGACACGGCCCAGACUCCUACGGGAGGCAGCAGUAGGGAAUCUUCCGCAAUGGACGAAAGUCUGACGGAGCAACGCCGCGUGAGUGAUGAAGGUUUUCGGAUCGUAAAGCUCUGUUGUUAGGGAAGAACAAGUGCAAGAGUAACUGCUUGCACCUUGACGGUACCUAACCAGAAAGCCACGGCUAACUACGUGCCAGCAGCCGCGGUAAUACGUAGGUGGCAAGCGUUGUCCGGAAUUAUUGGGCGUAAAGGGCUCGCAGGCGGUUUCUUAAGUCUGAUGUGAAAGCCCCCGGCUCAACCGGGGAGGGUCAUUGGAAACUGGGGAACUUGAGUGCAGAAGAGGAGAGUGGAAUUCCACGUGUAGCGGUGAAAUGCGUAGAGAUGUGGAGGAACACCAGUGGCGAAGGCGACUCUCUGGUCUGUAACUGACGCUGAGGAGCGAAAGCGUGGGGAGCGAACAGGAUUAGAUACCCUGGUAGUCCACGCCGUAAACGACGAGUGCUAAGUGUUAGGGGGUUUCCGCCCCUUAGUGCUGCAGCUAACGCAUUAAGCACUCCGCCUGGGGAGUACGGUCG